GGACUACUGGGGUAUCUAAUCCUGUUUGCUACCCACGCUUUCGUGUCUCAGCGUCAGAAGUGGUCCAGUAAGCUGUCUACACCACAGGUGUUCCUCCUGAUAUCUACGCAUUUCACCGCUACACCAGGAAUUCCGCUUACCUCUCCCACCCUCUAGCACUCUAGUUUCCGCUGCACCCUCCCAGUUAAGCCGGGAGAUUUCACAACAGACUGGGAGCACCGCCUACACACUCUUUACGCCCAGUAAUUCCGAACAACGCUCGCUGCCUACGUAUUACCGCGGCUGCUGGCAC
rnacentral:rRNA from 1 species